GUGUGUGUGGUGAGAGAGUGUUUGCGUGUUUCAUUUGCAGUCAAGUUGAUGGGCACACAAGCAACGCUAGCGCAUUUUAAUGACAUCGAUAUAAAUAUAUAAAUAUAAUAGAUAAAUAAAUAGGAGAGGGAAAGCAUCUAGGUGGUGAAUGUUUUACAAUUUUUUUUCAGAUGAGCAUGUCAACGUUUUUGUAAAAAUGUAACAAAGUAAAGGGUGUCAAGACGUUUCUCUUCUGUGUCAUUUUUUUUUAUAUGGAUUCCAUUUAAAUACCCAACAAGUUUUUUUUUCUCCACCUUUGACGUCCGUUUUUGUCUUUUUCACGUAAGAAAAAUUAGAGUUUUUCCCUUCCCUGUUAAUAUCCCGGUGCAUUCAGUGCCUAUCACAGCCAUAAGUUCACAUCAUGAAACGUGUUGUUUUGUUCCCCCCCCAAGUAAAAAAAAAGAAAAGUAAGUCUUAGCCCCCCCAUGUGUAAGCACAACCCCAUCAAAAAGAUUACAAACUUGCACGCUGUCCAAGCACAAAGUCAACGUCCUGCCAUAGACGCUGGUUGACCUUUUUUUUUUACAUGGUCUUACCAUUUGUAUAAUAAUGACUGUAACUUCAUUCCAUCCUGCUUUUUUUUGUACUCAUCGCGCUGUAAAUAGUGUACAUAAGAUUGAGAGUGUAGGUCCACUAUGUGUGUGUGUGUGUGAGCGUGUGUGUGUUAGGGUGUUAUCUAAAUGGAACUGUAGCCCCAGAGACUCCACGUCAAGCGUCCCCCCCCCCCCGUUCCCCCACCCUCGUUUUACCACGACUAGGGGGCGCCAGUUGACACGUUCGCUUUUAAUGUCUAUGUUACGUUCCGGGAUAUCGAUGGCAAUGGGGAAAAAAAGAGAGAAAUUGUUUUUCUGCAGCUACGUGAAUGUAUAUUUCUGAGGGUGUUACAAAGAUGGAAAAAAAAAAACAAUUGUUCAAAAUUGUGACUGACCAGUGAAGUAACUUGUAUUUGUUUUAAGCAUUAAAUGAUUUCAAUAGUCAA